rnacentral:tRNA from 1 species
ACCCAGCAAUUAUACCUAGGAAAAGAGGACUCGAACCCCCAUCUAAGACUCCAAAAAUCUUCGUAUGCCCAC